AGCUGAUGCGUCCGUUAAAUCUGGUUUGUGGUUGUUGCUUCUUUUUGUUGUUGUGUUUAUAUCUUUGUCAUGUUUCGUUUAGGCAUUUAUUCGAGCAGUUAACGUUCUGUGUCUACUUUUUUAAGUUUGGGGGAGGGUAGCGUAUGAAAUUUUUGAAAUUUCAACUUGGUGAGUGUGUGGCCACAUAUCUUACUUAGGUAUGGCUUUGCCAUCAUCAUUUUAUAUAUUAAUUAAGCAUAAUUUUUUGCAUUAUAUAUAAACAAUAUAAGAUGAGAGACCUUAAUCUCUUCGUGAUAGGCUUGCUUAUCUUGAAAAUGCACCAAAACCUGUUGGUUCAUUUAGCAAAUAAAAUCGGGGGAAAAUAGAAUGCAAAUCGCUUGGAGGUCGUCACACCUUCAGCAUUUAUUAACCCAAUGGAUUGGCUUGGUCGGCAAAUCCCACAUUGUUUACUAAUUUCAAUUCCUAAAUCUGGCCAUGAAAAGGCAAGUGGCAGAGAAGCA
rnacentral:misc_RNA from 1 species